AUUGAACGCUGGCGGCAUGCUUUACACAUGCAAGUCGAACGGUAACAGGGUGCUUGCACCGCUGACGAGUGGCGAACGGGUGAGUAAUAUAUCGGAACGUGCCCAGUAAUGGGGGAUAGCCCGGCGAAAGCCGGAUUAAUACCGCAUACGACCUACGGGUGAAAGCAGGGGAUCGCAAGACCUUGCGUUAUUGGAGCGGCCGAUAUCAGAUUAGCUAGUUGGUGGGGUAAAAGCCUACCAAGGCGACGAUCUGUAGCUGGUCUGAGAGGACGACCAGCCACACUGGGACUGAGACACGGCCCAGACUCCUACGGGAGGCAGCAGUGGGGAAUUUUGGACAAUGGGCGCAAGCCUGAUCCAGCCAUGCCGCGUGUGGGAAGAAGGCCUUCGGGUUGUAAACCACUUUUGUCAGGGAAGAGACGCUCUGGGCUAAUACCCUGGGGUAAUGACGGUACCUGAAGAAUAAGCACCGGCUAACUACGUGCCAGCCGCCGCCGUAACAC
rnacentral:rRNA from 1 species